rnacentral:rRNA from 1 species
UACGAAGGGUGCAAGCGUUACUCGGAAUCACUGGGCGUAAAGAGCUCGUAGGCGGCUUGUCACGUCGGGUGUGAAAGCCCGGGGCUUAACCCCGGGUCUGCAUUCGAUACGGGCUAGCUAGAGUGUGGUAGGGGAGAUCGGAAUUCCUGGUGUAGCGGUGAAAUGCGCAGAUAUCAGGAGGAACACCGGUGGCGAAGGCGGAUCUCUGGGCCAUUACUGACGCUGAGGAGCGAAAGCGUGGGGAGCGAACAGG